rnacentral:rRNA from 1 species
CCUACGGGAGGCAGCAGUGGGGAAUAUUGCACAAUGGGGGAAACCCUGAUGCAGCGACGCCGCGUGAGUGAAGAAGUAAUUCGUUACGUAAAGCUCUAUCAGCAGGGAAGAAAUACUGACCUUACGGUCAGCAGACGGUACCUGAGUAAGAAGCCCCGGCUAACUACGUGCCAGCAGCCGCGGUAAUACGUAGGGGGCAAGCGUGAUCCGGGUUUACUGGGUGUAAAGGGGGCGUAGACGGUGCGCCAAGUCUGGAGGGAAAUGCCGCGGCUUAACUGCGGAACUGCUUUGGAAACUGGCGAACUAGAGUGCGGGAGGGGUAAGCGGAAUUCCUAGUGUAGCGGUGAAAUGCAUAGAUAUUAGGAGGAACACCGGUGGCGAAGGCGGCUUACUGGACCGUAACUGACGUUGAGGCUCGAAAGCGUGGGGAGCAAACAGGAUUAGAUACCCUAGUAGUC